GACGAACGCUGGCGGCGUGCCUAAUACAUGCAAGUUGAGCGAUGAAGAUUGGUGCUUGCACCAAUUUGAAGAGCAGCGAACGGGUGAGUAACGCGUGGGGAAUCUGCCUUUGAGCGGGGGACAACAUUUGGAAACGAAUGCUAAUACCGCAUAACAACUUUAAACAUAAGUUUUAAGUUUGAAAGAUGCAAUUGCAUCACUCAAAGAUGAUCCCGCGUUGUAUUAGCUAGUUGGUGAGGUAAAGGCUCACCAAGGCGAUGAUACAUAGCCGACCUGAGAGGGUGAUCGGCCACAUUGGGACUGAGACACGGCCCAAACUCCUACGGGAGGCAGCAGUAGGGAAUCUUCGGCAAUGGACGAAAGUCUGACCGAGCAACGCCGCGUGAGUGAAGAAGGUUUUCGGAUCGUAAAACUCUGUUGGUAGAGAAGAACGUUGGUGAGAGUGGAAAACUCAUCAAGUGACGGUAACUACCCAGAAAGGGACGGCUAACUACGUG
rnacentral:rRNA from 1 species